rnacentral:lncRNA from 1 species
CCGGCCCGCGGGCCUCCGGAUCAGUGACGUGCGCACGCCCAUUGGCUGCGCGGGGAGGGGGCGGGGCGCCUGAGAUGGGACGUGUGGUCCGUGGCUAAAGGCUGGGACGGAAAGGCGCAUGAGCCACCGCCGCGUCAGGCUCGGCUAUGGGUGGGGGGAGCGUGAUCGCGGACCCGGGGUGUGGGGCGACUGGAAAAACGGGCCUCUGGACCAGCACACGCCCUGUGCGGAGAGACACUGUCUGGCAUCUCGGGAUCAUGUGAGGGGCUCCCACUGCCCAGUCACACGUCUAAAGCAUCCUAGUUCUUACCUAUUGUAGCACGGCCGGAAAGUGAGCCGCCUUAGCUGCUGAUUGUACUAGAGCAGGCAAUACAAGAGUCGGCCCAUCCUCAAAACCACUGAUAGGAUGUGAGUUUCACUAACCCCGUUUUACAGAUGAGGAAAUUGAGGCAAGGCCAGGGCUCACACCUGUAAUCCCAGCACUUUGGGAGUCCAAGGUUGGAGGGUUGCUUGAGACCAGGAGUUCAUGACCAGCCUGGGCGACAUAGUGAGACCCCCAUCUUCCCAAAUAAAAAUAAAUAAAUCAGCCGGACAUGGUGGCAUGUGCCUGUAGUCCCUGCUGCUCAGAAGGCUAAGGUGGAAGGAUAGCUUGAGCCCAGGAGUUCGAGGCUGCAGUGAGCUAUGAUCAUACCACUGUACUCCAGCCUAGGUGACAGAGGGAGACCCUGUCUCAAAAAGAAAAGAGACUUACACGAGGUCACAUAGCUAAUAAGUGGCAGAUAGGGAAGAGAACCCUUGUCCCUCUACUUUAAGGCCCUAUUCGCUUGCCCCAUUAUCCCAUGCUGCCUCUCUAAGAGCCAGAGAAGUAGGAGGUAGAAAAAGAGCAUCUCUGCAGCUCUGGGACUGAUGAUGUGAAUGAACUGGGUAGAUGGUAAGUGUGUAACUGGGUGAUCUUGGACAUGGGAUGGGGUGGGUGAGGAGGCUUACCAAUGCUGAGAGGAGUGGAAGCUCCAACCCCAGCUAAUGCUAGACACCAGACUCCAAAUUUAAACACACAGUGGAAACUGGCAAGAAUGAAAUACUGACUUCAAUACAGAUUUCAAGAGACAUGACAUUAGCACUGGUGGAGAAUGGCAAGCCUAAGGUUGGAAAAGGUUCAGGGAAGGAAGAUGAAGGUCUGCCAUGUUCUACUGAGGAGGAGUUUUUCAAACAGUGGGGUGCUGUCUGCAAUGUGUACAGCCUUAAAAUUAUUAUAUAAGUAAUCAAUACUCAUUGUUGAAAAAUAAUAUAUGGAUAAACAGGAAAAAUAAACAAAAAUCAUAAUCCAUCUAGCCUCUCAGCAAAACUUCCUUUUUUUUUUUUUUAAAGCAGGGACUCGAUAUGUUGCCCAGGCUGGUCUUGAACUCCUGGGCUCAAGCAGUCCUCCCACUUCAGCGUCCCAAAUAGCUGGGAUUACAGAUGUGCUCAGCAAAACUUCUUGAGAACUAUGUACCCUUCUAAAUGCACGUCCUCAACCCUCCUUCCCUAUACUCCACACAGAAUUGAGCUCAAACUGCUUUUGUCAUAGUCAUCAUAAUGACCUACAUGUUGCCAAAUCUUGCAUUCUCUUCUCUUCCCUGCCCUUGUCUUACUCCUUCUCUCAGGGAUGUUGAGGACAGUUAAUCACAUCCUCCAUCUGGACACACCUUCCUCUCUCAGUAAGAGCACCAGUGCUCCACUCUGAGGGUUUCUGGCUAACCUCACUCCCCAGGCUCCUGAGUCCCUGUUUGCUCUAUUGGUAAAUGCUGGGGUAUUCGGGGCUGCCCUCCACCCUCUUCUCUGAACUAGUUACAGUUUCAAACUCCCUGAGGAGAAACUAACUUCCUAGCCCCAUGACUGUUAUAUCAUAUGCAUGCUGAUGACUCACCAUAGUAAAUCUACAGCGAGGUCCUCUCCUGGAGUUGCAGGCUUAUUUCUCCAGCUUGCCAUUUGUCAUCUCCACUGAAGUGAC